UCGAACGGCAGCACAGGAAGAGCUUGCUCUCUGGGUGGCGAGUGGCGGACGGGUGAGGAAUACAUCGGAAUCUACUCUGUCGUGGGGGAUAACGUAGGGAAACUUACGCUAAUACCGCAUACGACCUACGGGUGAAAGCAGGGGAUCUUCGGACCUUGCGCGAUUGAAUGAGCCGAUGUCGGAUUAGCUAGUUGGCGGGGUAAAGGCCCACCAAGGCGACGAUCCGUAGCUGGUCUGAGAGGAUGAUCAGCCACACUGGAACUGAGACACGGUCCAGACUCCUACGGGAGGCAGCAGUGGGGAAUAUUGGACAAUGGGCGAAAGCCUGAUCCAGCCAUACCGCGUGGGUGAAGAAGGCCUUCGGGUUGUAAAGCCCUUUUGUUGGGAAAGAAAUCCAGCUGGUUAAUACCCGGUUGGGAUGACGGUACCCAAAGAAUAAGCACCGGCUAACUUCGUGCCAGCAGCCGCGGUAAUACGAAGGGUGCAAGCGUUACUCGGAAUUACUGGGCGUAAAGCGUGCGUAGGUGGUCGUUUAAGUCCGUUGUGAAAGCCCUGGGCUCAACCUGGGAACUGCAGUGGAUACUGGACGACUAGAGUGUGGUAGAGGGUAGCGGAAUUCCUGGUGUAGCAGUGAAAUGCGUAGAGAUCAGGAGGAACAUCCAUGGCGAAGGCAGCUACCUGGACCAACACUGACACUGAGGCACGAAAGCGUGGGGAGCAAACAGG
rnacentral:rRNA from 1 species